AGUGAACGCUGGCGGUAGGCCUAACACAUGCAAGUCGAACGGCAGCACAGUAAGAGCUUGCUCUUACGGGUGGCGAGUGGCGGACGGGUGAGGAAUACAUCGGAAUCUACUUUUUCGUGGGGGAUAACGUAGGGAAACUUACGCUAAUACCGCAUACGACCUACGGGUGAAAGCAGGGGAUCUUCGGACCUUGCGCGAUUGAAUGAGCCGAUGUCGGAUUAGCUAGUUGGCGGGGUAAAGGCCCACCAAGGCGACGAUCCGUAGCUGGUCUGAGAGGAUGAUCAGCCACACUGGAACGGAGACACGGUCCAGACUCCUACGGGAGGCAGCAGUGGGGAAUAUUGGACAAUGGGCGCAAGCCUGAUCCAGCCAUACCGCGUGGGUGAAGAAGGCCUUCGGGUUUUAAAGCCCUUUUGUUGGGAAAGAAAAGCAGCAGGUUAAUACCCCGCUGUUCUGACGGUACCCAAAGAAUAAGCACCGGCUAACUUCGUG
rnacentral:rRNA from 1 species